UACAGAGGGGGCAAGCGUUGUUCGGAAUUACUGGGCGUAAAGGGCGCGUAGGGGGCCUUCUAAGUCGAACGUGAAAUCCCCGGGCUCAACCCGGGAACUGCGUCCGAUACUGGAAGGCUUGAAUCCGGGAGAGGGAUGCGGAAUUCCAGGUGUAGCGGUGAAAUGCGUAGAUAUCUGGAGGAACACCGGUGGCGAAGGCGGCAUCCUGGACCGGCAUUGACGCUGAGGCGCGAAAGCCAGGGGAGCAAACGGG
rnacentral:rRNA from 1 species